CCGUAGCCGGCGAGUAAUUCCAUGAUCGCCAUAAGAUGCACGAGAGCGAAAGCAUUUCACUCAAUUGCGUUCAUUAAUCAAGAACGAAAGUUAGGGGAUCGAAGACGAUUAGAUACCGUCGUAGUCCUAACUAUAAACGAUGUCAACCAAGGAUUGGAUUAGUUUAAGAGGGACAGAAGUCCGGCAACGCUGUUGUUGGGCUGACGGACCUCGCUUCCACCUUAUUCAGAACUUAAAGAGAAAUCUUGAGUUUAUGGACUUCAGGGGGAGUAUGGUCACAAGGCUGAAACUUAAAGGAAUUGACGGAAGGGCACACCAGGAGUGGAGCCUGCGGCUUAAUUUGACUCAACACGGGAAAACUUACCAAGACCGAACAGUAUUAGGAAUGACAGGUUAAGGGUCCUUUCAUGAUUUAUUGGGUAGUGGUGCAUGGCCGUUCUUAGUUGGUGGAGUGAUUUGUCAGGUUAAUUCCGGUAACGAACGAGACUGAAGCCUAUUAAUUAGUUUCUCGCCUAUACGACGAGAAUGUCCGCAAGGAUGGAUGCGUUUGCAUCACUUCUUAAAGGGACUAAUAUCAAUUGUUUCUCGGUUGAUCGGUGCUACCGUCUCGACGGUUCCCUUUCAAUCGGAAAAAAAGAUAAUGGAAGCAUUCAGCAAUAACAGGUCUGUGAUGCCCUUAGACAUCUUGGGCUGCACGCGCGCUACAAUGGAGAUACUAGCGAGUAUUUGUCGGGGUUGCUCGAUUCGUUGGCUUCGGUCAGCGGGUUGAGAUGUUCUCCGGUGUACCGAGACUGAAAUAGUUUAGGAAAACUCAAAAGAUCGUACAUGACAGGGAUAAAUGAUUGGAAUUAUUUGUUGGAAGAGAAUAUUACCUACAUA
rnacentral:rRNA from 1 species